rnacentral:lncRNA from 1 species
AUGAUCUCAUGGUUCAGGGCUCUGGGUGGGGAGCAGUGCUGCUGCUGGGCUUGUUUUAACAAGCUCUUCUUGCAGGGCAGCUGCUGGAGGCAGUUCCACCAGAGAGGCAAAACCCUUGUGGUUGCGGGAGCAGAACAAGUUCCUUCUAGACACUUGAGAAUAAGGAAGAGUGCAGAAAGGCUGUGCUGGGCCUUAAAUUCACCUUCAGGAACAACUCUUGGCCCAAGCUGCCUUAUCACAAAGAAUGAUAGCAGCACAUCACUGCAGGAGAGCUUGGAGUUGCUACUGCAGUCCCAGGGAUGUGCUGGAGUUGUGGAGACCUCCCUGGGCAGAGAGGAAGCCUUGCCAGCACCUGGCUGUCCUAAGCAUCCAUUUAUAGAUCUGAAAUCCUAG